AGAGUUCUCAGAGAGGCUGGAACACAGCUGUCCAGUGUGGGCACCACCACCCCUGAUGCAGCCAUAGGCAUGGGCUAGGAGGGGGAAAGACCAUGGACUUCAUAAGAAGACGUGAAGAUGCUAAAAGGGAGAGGACAUGAGCUCUGAUCCUGAGAUGUACCUCUUUCCCAUGCCUAGUGGGCCCUACAACCUGGAAUAGAAGGAAAAGGGACCAGGAGGGACUUCUUCAUCAAUAAAGAUUUUUAAGAGCU
rnacentral:lncRNA from 1 species